rnacentral:rRNA from 1 species
AGCCUGAACGCUGGCGGCGUGGCUAAGACAUGCAAGUCGAACGGUGUAGCAAUACACAGUGGCGAACGGGUGAGUAAUGUAUCGCUAACGUACCCUUCAGUCAGGGAUAGCCGGGGGAAACUCCGGGUAAUACCCGAUGAUAUUCUUUUCCUGCAUGGGAGAAGACUCAAAGGAGCAAUCCGUUGAAGGAGCGGGCGAUAUCGUAUCAGCUAGUUGGUGAGGUAACGGCUCACCAAGGCGACGACGCGUAGCCGGGCUGAGAGGUCGGCCGGCCACAUUGGGACUGAGACACUGCCCAGACUCCUACGGGGGGCUGCAGUAACGAAUCUUCCGCAAUGCACGCAAGUGUGACGGAGCGACGCCGCGUGUGGGACGAAGUCCUUCGGGAUGUAAACCACUGUCAGGGGUAAGAAAGUUCUGAUCUACCCCAGAGGAAGGCACGGCUAACUCUGCGCCAGCAGCCGCGGUAA